UACGACUACAUAUCAGGCAUAUCAAUAAGCGGAGGAAAAGAAACUAACAAGGAUUCCCUUAGUAACGGCGAGUGAAGCGGGAAGAGCUCAAAUUUGAAAUCUUCAAGGUUUGACCUUGACGAAUUGUAGUUUAAAGAAGUGUUUUCGGUUAGAGGAGUUUAGUAAAAGUUCUUUGGAAUAGGACAUCAUAGAGGGUGAGAAUCCCGUAUUUGACCUAUUACUUUCUAGCUGUGUGAUACACUUUCAAAGAGUCGGAUUGUUUGGGAAUGCAGUCCAAAAUGGGUGGUAAAUUUCAUCUAAAGCUAAAUAUUGGCGAGAGACCGAUAGCGAACAAGUACCGUGAGGGAAAGAUGAAAAGGACUUUGAAAAGAGAGUUAAACAGUACGUGAAAUUGUCAAAAGGGAAGCGUUUGACACCAGUGUUGUUUUCUCGAAAAUCAAUUAAAAAAAGUUGGAUUUUGUGUUGUAUUGACCUUAACAGCUUGCUUCACUCUUUUCCAGCUUUUUUUAAUGCACUUUUCGUUUAACAAGUCAACAUCAGUUUCUUUUGUUGUAAAAGGGUCAUUGGAAGGUGGCUUUCUCUUCGGAGAAAGUGUUUAUAGCCUUUGAUCUCUGCAAUCGGAGAGACUGAGGUCCUGCAGCGUAGAUCCUUCGGGGUUAGAUACAUUUGUGCUAAGCUACAGCUUUUCAUAGACAACUUGUUGACUAUGUUUAGUCUUGUGACUUACCCGCUUAUGCUAUUUUACCUACGCUUAGGAUGUUGAGCGCAUGUCUCUCUCU
rnacentral:rRNA from 1 species